rnacentral:snRNA from 1 species
UCGGAGGGUGAUCUGGCUGUGACCUCUGUCACCUCAUUGAUCACCAGGGUUGAUUUGCCUGGUCUAGCUGACUAGAUGGGUGACCUGUUUUUCCCUCAGCACUGUAUGUAUGACCUUCUGAAGCCUUGUGUUUGAUCAACGAGGACAACCAGCUCCACAGAGGAGAGCCCUUUCUUCAGUCAGGAGUAUGCAAGUUAAGUUAUAUCUAACAGUGUU